UGACCUACGGGACGCAGCAGUGGGGAAUAUUGCACAAUGGGGGGAACCCUGAUGCAGCGACGCCGCGUGAGUGAAGAAGUAUUUCGGUAUGUAAAGCUCUGUCAGCAGGGAAAAAGAAAGACGAUACCUGACCAAGAAGCCCCGGCUAACUACGUGCCAGCAGCCGCGGUAAUACGUAGGGGGCAAGCGUUAUCCGGAUUUACUGGGUGUAAAGGGAGCGUAGACGGCAGCGCAAGUCUGAAGUGAAAUCCCAUGGCUUAACCAUGGAACUGCUUUGGAAACUGUGCAGCUGGAGUGCAGGAGAG
rnacentral:rRNA from 1 species